CCUACGGGUGGCAGCAGUGAGGAAUAUUGGUCAAUGGCCGAGAGGCUGAACCAGCCAAGUCGCGUGAAGGAAGACGGUUUUCGGAUUGUAAACUUCUGUUCUUAGUGAAGAAUAAUGACGGUAGCUAAGGAGCAAGCCACGGCUAACUACGUGCCAGCAGCCGCGGUAAUACGUAGGUGGCAAGCGUUGUCCGGAAUUACUGGGUGUAAAGGGAGCGCAGGCGGGAAGCCAAGUCAGCUGUGAAAACUACGGGCUUAACUUGUAGACUGCAGUUGAAACUGGUUUUCUUGAGUGAAGUAGAGGUUGGCGGAAUUCCGAGUGUAGCGGUGAAAUGCGUAGAUAUUCGGAGGAACACCGGUGGCGAAGGCGGCCAACUGGGCUUUAACUGACGCUGAGGCUCGAAAGUGUGGGGAGCAAACAGGAUUAGAUACCCCUGUAGUC
rnacentral:rRNA from 1 species